rnacentral:rRNA from 1 species
GUGGGGAAUAUUGGACAAUGGGCGCAAGCCUGAUCCAGCAAUGCCGCGUGAGUGAUGAAGGCCUUAGGGUUGUAAGGCUCUUUCACCGGGGAAGAUAAUGACGGUACCCGGAGAAGAAGCCCCGGCUAACUCCGUGCCAGCAGCCGCGGUAAUACGGAGGGGGCUAGCGUUGUUCGGAAUUACUGGGCGUAAAGCGCGCGUAGGCGGCUUGAAAAGUUGGAGGUGAAAGCCCGGAGCUCAACCUCGGAAUUGCCUUCAAGACUGUCUCGCUCGAGGCAGGGAGAGGAGAGCGGAAUACCCAGUGUAGAGGUGAAAUUCGUAGAUAUUGGGUGGAACACCGGUGGCGAAGGCGGCUCUCUGGCCCUGAUCUGACGCUAAGGCGCGAAAGCGUGGGGAGCAAACAGGAUUAGAUACCCCAGUAGUCC